rnacentral:lncRNA from 10 species
AAAAGAUAUACUUCUAAGAGACUGUCAACAUAAUAAAUGAAAGGUAGCCUCCACCUUCACCCCAGAUGUCUACCUCCUGGUAUACACACCCUUGUGUAAUCCCUUUCCUUUGAUUGUGAACUGGAGUUACUGACUUGUUAAUGACUAGAAUAUGGCAAACAUUAUGGAAUAUCACAUACAACAGUAAGUGAAAAGAAGACUGUGGCUUCUAUUUGGGGAUUUCUCUUGCUUUUUCUUGGAUUAUUUUUGCUGUGGGGGGAAACCAGUUGCUAUGUCAUGAGGCAGACCUCUGCAGGGGACUGAGUGAGCUUAGAUGCAGGUCUUCUGAGACCUGCCAACUGCCAUAUGAUUUACCUUGGAGGUGCAUUCUCUUCCUGUCCAGUCUCAGAGGAACACAGCUUCAGAUAACAGUUUGAUUGCCAUUUCAUGAAAGACCCUGAGCCAGAGGCACCAAAGUAAGCUACAACCGGAAUUCUGAUCCACAGACACUGGGGGAUAAUAAAGGGCACUGAAUGAGCUGUAAAAGGUCAGAAGAAGCCAUCCUGAAGAAACAGCUAAAUAAGUCAUUAAAUUUCUUUAUAUAUCAUGAAAUUAAACACAAUAGUCACAAUACACUGUAUUUAAUCAUUCCUUUCUUUCAGAGCUAUUAGCUGCUUUCUCCUCCAUCAGCUCUCUGAAUGAUGUGCAUUUUAUUGAGGCAGAACAGUGUGGUGCUUGAAGCCAUGGUUAUGAGAGAAGUAAUAAGACAGAACUUUGGCAUUUGUUGCUUCAACAAUGUUUUCUAAAACCUAUCAUAGUUUG